rnacentral:lncRNA from 1 species
GCACGCAUCCCUAGGAUGUUGGAGUGAGGCUUGGCACCAAAAUCCCAAAACCGGAAUUUUUGGUCAGCUCUCGGAUAGCCUGCAGCAGAGCUUGUACCGGAACAAGACUGGUCUUGUACCGGUACAAGGUUGAUGGUUGUACCGGUACAGCCAUCGGGCUUGUACCGGUACAGAGCCGCAGACCCCGCGACCCGAGCCUCGGGUUUGCAUUUUCGUGGGCCUUGUACCGGUACAAGAGCCCGUGUACCGGUACAAGGAGGCAGUUUUCGUGCAGUU